GAGUUCCCGUUGAUCCUGCGGGAGAUGGCUGCUAUGAGUAUCCGAUUUAGCCAUGCAAGUCUAGUAGCAAUACUGGCGAACUGCUCAGUAACACGUCGGUAACCUGCCCUAUGGUCGAGCAUAACCUCGGGAAACUGAGGGUAAUUCUCGAUAGAAGAUUCUUCCUGGAAUGGUGUUUCUUCCAAACACGUGCCAUAGGAUGGGCCGGCGGCUGAUUAGGCUGUUGGUGGGGUAA
rnacentral:rRNA from 1 species